AUCUCUGGCCCGUAACUGACGCUGAGGAGCGAAAGCGUGGGGAGCGAACAGGAUUAGAUACCCUGGUAGUCCACGCCGUAAACGGUGGGUGCUAGUUGUGGGCCACAUUCCACGUGGUCCGUGACGAAGUUAACACAUUAAGCACCCCGCCUGGGGAGUACGGUCGCAAGACUAAAACUCAAAGGAAUUGACGGGGGCCCGCACAAGCGGCGGAGCAUGCGGAUUAAUUCGAUGCAACGCGAAGAACCUUACCAAGGCUUGACAUAUAGAGGAAACGUGCAGAAAUGUACGCCCCGCAAGGUCUCUAUACAGGUGGUGCAUGGUUGUCGUCAGCUCGUGUCGUGAGAUGUUGGGUUAAGUCCCGCAACGAGCGCAACCCUCGUCCUAUGUUGCCAGCACGUAAUGGUGGGAACUCAUGGGAGACUGCCGGGGUCAACUCGGAGGAAGGUGGGGAUGACGUCAAAUCAUCAUGCCCCUUAUGUCUUGGGCUUCACGCAUGCUACAAUGGCCAGUACAAAGGGCUGCAAUACCGUAAGGUGGAGCGAAUCCCAAAAAGCUGGUCUCAGUUCGGAUUGAGGUCUGCAACUCGACCUCAUGAAGUCGGAGUCGCUAGUAAUCGCAGAUCAGCAACGCUGCGGUGAAUACGUCCCCGGGCCUUGUACACACCGCCCGUCAAGUCACGAAAGUCGGUAACACCCGAAGCCGGUGGCCUAACCGCAAGGAAGGA
rnacentral:rRNA from 1 species